UGCAAGUCGAACGGUAACAGAAAGCAGCUUGCUGCUUUGCUGACGAGUGGCGGACGGGUGAGUAAUGUCUGGGAAACUGCCUGAUGGAGGGGGAUAACUACUGGAAACGGUAGCUAAUACCGCAUAAUGUCGAAAGACCAAAGAGGGGGACCUUCGGGCCUCUUGCCAUCGGAUGUGCCCAGAUGGGAUUAGCUAGUAGGUGGGGUAACGGCUCACCUAGGCGACGAUCCCUAGCUGGUCUGAGAGGAUGACCAGCCACA
rnacentral:rRNA from 1 species